rnacentral:rRNA from 1 species
UACGUAGGGUGCAAGCGUUAUCCGGAAUUAUUGGGCGUAAAGAGCUCGUAGGCGGUUUGUCGCGUCUGCUGUGAAAACUGGGGGCUCAACCCCCAGCCUGCAGUGGGUACGGGCAGACUAGAGUGCGGUAGGGGAGAUUGGAAUUCCUGGUGUAGCGGUGGAAUGCGCAGAUAUCAGGAGGAACACCGGUGGCGAAGGCGGCUCUCUGGGCCUUACCUGACGCUGAGGAGCGAAAGCGUGGGUAGCGAACAGG